GCUGCAGCGCCACCUCAGGUCAAACACAACACCAGAACAACCCCACGUGCCCAUAAUUUGCGGUACUUCAGAAAAAAAGGAGUGAACAUAAAAGGGAGUAAAAUGUUGUGGCAGGAAGAGAAAAGAAUGAGAGCUAACUUCACUCAGAGAUAUAGAAAGAAAGAGAAAGAAACCAGGCUGUAUUUAAAGACGUCUUGAAAACAAGUUUUAACAAAGUCCUGGAGAAGUGCCCAAUGCUGGAGGACCUCCUGCUUUACCCCUGGCUCAGAUAAACUCCUCUCUGACACAAACACACACGCAUACUGAAUUCACAUCUUGCCAUACAAAUGUGAUACAGUAACCAACUUUCUUUCUUUCAGAAAAAAAGAAAAUUGGGAGAUUCAAAAUUUUCCUCACAGUAAUGUUUGCAUCAGUCUAUCAGAUGAAUCCCCUCCAAGUCCAAUAUUUACAUCAGUUACAGUGAUAAUGCUUGGUGUCUACUUUCAGCCACCGCAGUAGAAUGCCAGGAAUGAAUCUCAUUGAAAUUGUAGUUGCAUUUGCUAUUUAAUUUAAUUGUCAUGGAUGAUACACAGACAACCCAA